rnacentral:rRNA from 1 species
CACGUAGGGCGCAAGCGUUGUCCGGAAUUAUUGGGCGUAAAGAGCUCGUAGGCGGUCUGUUGCGUCCGCUGUGAAAACUCGGGGCUUAACCCCGAGCCUGCAGUGGAUACGGGCAGACUAGAGGUAGGUAGGGGAGAAUGGAAUUCCCGGUGUAGCGGUGAAAUGCGCAGAUAUCGGGAGGAACACCGGUGGCGAAGGCAGCACUCUGGGACGGUACUGACGCUGAGACGCGAAAGCGUGGGGAGCGAACAGG